rnacentral:tRNA from 1 species
GAGGGUGUAGCUGAGGUGGUAGAGUGUGUGCUUGGUAUGCACAAGGUCCUGGGUUCAAUCCCCAGUACCUCCA